CUCUUUUCUUCUUUUUAAACAAAACAAUAACAUUUUGGCGCCCGACUUGGUUUAGGCUCUCUCUGUAGACCCUCUCCCAAAGCUAACUGGUGGGAUAGUUUUUCUUUCUUUGUAACUUUUCCUGCCAGGAGCACAGGAAAUCUCGGAGAUCCUAAAAUCUGGACUCAUAGCCCACUUCCAUCUCCGCUUUUCCUGGUACUCCCUCCUGCCUGCAACAGCCUGAGAUGCCGGAACUCAACUUGCCGCUUUUCCAACUAAGUAUUUCUGGAACUCACUGAUCUGCCUAUUCGCUACAAUCCGGUCUAAGAGGCGCCAGGGAGUUCCAUACAGCCUGGACUACAAUGAAACAACCAGCUACCCCAGGAUGUGGUAGCACCCCAACCUUCUCGGGUCCCCCAAAGAUGGUCAACGCCCCCCACGUCAGCAGGAAGCAGUCUUAAGAAUUCGACGCCCUUAUUCCUUAACCUGCCAUGUCUAAACACCCCACCUUUUUUUAAUAAUAAGUAGAGGUGGGAAUGAAAGGUUCAGGCAUUAUGCUGGCCUGCCCCUGUUACCUGGUGGAAUCCACUCAGGCAAUACCCUGGUCAGCCCAAGGUUCCAUGGGAAAGAAGUCUGCACGCAGGUGCAGAGGACCCCUUUAAAAGAUAGGCCCCUGCACCUUUACUCUCUCUCUCUCUCUCUCUCUCUCUCUCUCUCUCUCUCUCUCUCUCUCCCUCUCUCCCUCUCUCUCUCUCCCGUCUCUCUCUCUCUCUCUGUGUGCUCUCUGUUUCCCCCGCUCUGUCUCUCUAUGGCGACCGGCCAUGGCGGUCAGCCAUUACCCUGUUCCUCUUCUUAGUCUACCCAUUCUACCGGGCCUUAUAAUAA
rnacentral:lncRNA from 1 species